rnacentral:rRNA from 1 species
CGGAGGGUGCGAGCGUUAAUCGGAAUAACUGGGCGUAAAGGGCACGCAGGCGGUGACUUAAGUGAGGUGUGAAAGCCCCGGGCUUAACCUGGGAAUUGCAUUUCAUACUGGGUCGCUAGAGUACUUUAGGGAGGGGUAGAAUUCCACGUGUAGCGGUGAAAUGCGUAGAGAUGUGGAGGAAUACCGAAGGCGAAGGCAGCCCCUUGGGAAUGUACUGACGCUCAUGUGCGAAAGCGUGGGGAGCAAACAGGAUU